AUUCAGCAGACGAGUCAUAAAUAGAACGAAACGUGUGUCCUGUAU
rnacentral:hammerhead_ribozyme from 1 species